rnacentral:rRNA from 1 species
GAUGAACGCUGGCGGCGUGCCUAAUACAUGCAAGUCGAGCGAAUGGAUUAAGAGCUUGCUCUUAUGAAGUUAGCGGCGGACGGGUGAGUAACACGUGGGUAACCUGCCCAUAAGACUGGGAUAACUCCGGGAAACCGGGGCUAAUACCGGAUAACAUUUUGAACCGCAUGGUUCGAAAUGGAAAGGCGGCUUCGGCUGUCACUUAUGGAUGGACCCGCGUCGCAUUAGCUAGUUGGUGAGGUAACGGCUCACCAAGGCAACGAUGCGUAGCCGACCUGAGAGGGUGAUCGGCCACACUGGGACUGAGACACGGCCCAGACUCCUACGGGAGGCAGCAGUAGGGAAUCUUCCGCAAUGGACGAAAGUCUGACGGAACAACGCCGCGUGAGUGAUGAAGGCUUUCGGGUCGUAAAACUCUGUUGUUAGGGAAGAACAAGUGCUAGUUGAAUAAGCUGGCACCUUGACGGUACCUAACCAGAAAGCCACGGCUAACUACGUGCCAGCCGCCGCGGUAA